AAUUCCAGAGAACCGCGUGACAUGAAUUGACGUGACGACGGAAAUGGUGGACAAGGUGUAUUUUAGCAAUAAAAAACCCCACCAUAUUUUGUUUAUGAUUAUAGGUCUAAAGUAUAUUCGUACGUAUCAACAAAACUACUAAGAUGAAGCAACAGAACAUGACCCAUGCGGCAAGUCGUGAAAAGUGUACUGAAGUUUUGUUAGAACAUUUGCUGAAUAGUGUGAUAAUCCUAGUAAAAGAAGACAGACAGACAACUCUCUGCAAGAUGAUAAGUAACUUUUGAUACAUCAAAGAAUUAAUAAUACUAAUCUAUUUUUGGUAGAUGCAGCAACACAGUUGCAAGACAGGAUAGUACUGCUGCAGAGGAAGACAAGGAAAAGAAACCUAUUAUAAAUAAUUUUGUCUAAUAUAGGCAAUUUAAUUUAGUUAAUUUAAUUUGUCAUGCUUAAUACAAUACAGAAGUUUUGCUAACAUCUUGCUGAAUAUUGUGAUGCUGUAAUCCUGGUGAAAGCAGUUGUAUUAUUUGUUGCAGCAUCAAGACAAUUGCUUAUUUCUGAAAAAACUGAGUAUAUUGUACAGAAGAUAUAAACUGGCUAAUUACAAUCAGACAAGAGAACCAGAAAACUACUAUGAUUACUAGCAGAGCAUUUUAACUUUCUAUAUAAUGAAUUGUUGUUGCCUAAUAAUUUACAUUAUGUGUUUUUGGCUAUAAGAUAAUAAAAAAUAUAAGUAGUGUGUUGACUUUUCUUUGCUGUUUGAAAACUGGUGGAUGCAGGCAAGUUGUUGCAGCAUCAAGACAAUAGCUUCAUUCUGAAAAAUUGAUUAUAUUGUACAGAAGUAAUAAGAGAACCAGAAAACUACUAUAACUUGCAUUUUAACUUUCCAUAUAAUGAAUUCUUGAUGCCUAAUAAUUUUAAUUAUGCGAUUUUGGUUAUGAAGAAAAUUUAAAAAAAUCAAGUGUUUUGAUGUUUCUUUGCUGUUCAAGUUUGAAGAC